UACGGGGGGGGCAAGCGUUGUUCGGAAUUACUGGGCGUAAAGGGCUCGUAGGUGGCCAACUAAGUCAUACGUGAAAUCCCUCGGCUUAACCGGGGAACUGCGUCUGAUACUGGAUGGCUUGAGGUUGGGAGAGGGAUGCGGAAUUCCAGGUGUAGCGGUGAAAUGCGUAGAUAUCUGGAGGAACACCGGUGGCGAAGGCGGCUUACUGGGUCUUUUCUGACGCUGAGGAACGAAAGCUAGGGGAGCGAACGGG
rnacentral:rRNA from 1 species